CAUCACUCCUGAAGUGUUUUUUUCUUUUUUUCUUGUUUCUUCCAGACCAUUUCUACAAUUUAUCAAGACCAUUUCGACUCCUAAUCCUGGCUCUGAAGCACCUGCAGCCCGUCCCAGCCUGGUAUCUGCAGCAAUUUUAAAAUGUGGGAAAUACUUUUCCAAGGCUUUUGAACUCCAAAGUGGAACAGAAGGAAGACACAGGGGGACAUCCACCGUUCAGUGUUAUUUUCCUUGCACAGGAGAGAGAGAGAGAGAGAGAGAAGAAAAAACGGAUCUUUCUGAGAUGAGCACUAAAGUCUCAAGUUUUCAAAGGUUUGCAUAACAAACAAGAGACACAUUGUGGGUUGCAUCUUGACUUUGAAGGCUUGCCACUGUCAACUGAAAUAAAAUGGCAAGGUUUAAAGCCUUAACCAAGUUCACAAGGAAAAUAUUUGGACUGAAAGUUUUGGAAAGUUUUCUCUCUUUGAAGUAGUUUGUCAUGUGUUACCAAUGUGAACUUUAUUGACCUUGAAACGUUUUUUUUUUUGAAUCAAAUAGCAACUAGUGACACUUUAGUCAAAUCUUAAAUCAACAACCAUCUCCUGGCGGCUCCAGCUUCGUAGCAAAUGCAGGCAAAACAGGGAAUCUACAGAGGAGACCUUUAUUAUUCCUAAAUGAAGCCUGCCAAAACCUUCCCGAAAUAGCAU
rnacentral:lncRNA from 1 species